UAUAAUCAUGGGGUACUGGCUUUUCGUAUAAUUAGAAUAUCAAUGAUAAUAUUUGAUAUUAUCUAUGUAACUUGAUUUAUCUUCCAUGUGAGACUAUGAUCCACUUGCUCGAUACCCUUUCAGAUCUAAGAUAGUAAUGUUCAAUAAAUACUUUGAAAGAAUUAGAUGGGGGAGUUCAUAAAUUUAGAUGUUUUGCUCUUCACUUCCAAAAGGGAUUUUGGUGGCGAAUUUCAUUUUGCUUGGGCAUGCACCACAAUAUUGGCUAGAUAAGUUUCUCUUAUUAACUUUCUAUCGAAUAAUUUCGAGCUAUUUUGAUAUUGCUAUUUAUUUAUUUAUUUAUC